rnacentral:rRNA from 1 species
GAUGAACGCUGGCGGCGUGCCUAAUACAUGCAAGUCGAGCGAACGGACGAGAAGCUUGCUUCUCUGAUGUUAGCGGCGGACGGGUGAGUAACACGUGGAUAACCUACCUAUAAGACUGGGAUAACUUCGGGAAACCGUAGCUAAUACCGGAUGAUAUUUUGAACCGCAUGGUUCAAAAGUGAAAGACGGUCUUGCUGUCACUUAUAGAUGGAUCCGCGCUGCAUUAGCUAGUUGGUAAGGUAACGGCUUACCAAGGCAACGAUGCAUAGCCGACCUGAGAGGGUGAUCAGCCACACUGGAACUGAGACACGGCCCAGACUCCUACGGGAGGCAGAAGUAGGGAAUCUUCCGCAAUGGGCGAAAGCCUGACGGAGCAACGCCGCGUGAGUGAUGAAGGUCUUCGGAUCGUAAAACUCUGUUAUUAGGGAAGAACAUAUGUGUAAGUAACUGUGCACAUCUUGACGGUACCUAAUCAGAAAGCCACGGCUAACUACGUG